GCCUGUGCUGUCCUCCGUGCUUGCUUUGUACCGCAGCCUCUCAUUCCAGCCUUCUGAUUCUCUCACUAAUCCGGGAGCAAGGAGAUUGCAGCUGGGACUCCUUACACAGGGAAGGCGCAGGAAAGGAGGCUGAAACUCAGGUGGCUUUCUGCAUACAGGGAAGACCUGGGGAGGCUCCUUGGAGGAGAUGAUGCCGGCCCAAGUUGUGGAGGGUGACAGUGAAGAACAAGGAGAAGCCCCCGGCCAGAGUCACUCAUAUAAAGUUUUCAGACUUUCAGCAAGUUGCCAGAGCAAUUGAGCAAACACAACAGACCCUUCAGCCGGCUUCUCCUUCUCCUCACCCCACUGUGGUCCCACCCUCUACCCCCAGCCACACGGAGUCCUGUGCUAUACAAAGGUGCAAUUGAAAUACAUGACACACUUGGCAUCGUCUUCGGGCCACUUUAGGAAGCAGUUCUGACAGUCCUCUUUCCUGAGCAUCUUUAUAAGAUUUUUUAAAAAGCAACAUGGUGAAUGCUGCUCCUGUGUGACAUUAACAGAAACACAGGCUCACACGGAGACUGCAGGGCACCCGCCACCCGCCUUACCCGCAGAUCUGACACCCUGCCACUGCUACCUCUUCGUCAAGGUCAAAAUGACCACAACAGGUGAGCGUUUCGAAUCAAUUCAGGACAAGGAUGCACGACUAUGCAACUAAAAACAGUCACAAAGAAGACUUCCAGAUCUGCUUCAGAAGGUGCCAAGAGCGUGGGAGAAGUGCGUGUCUGAAGCUGGAGGAAAUAUUCUGAGGGGCACUAAUGAUAAUGAGUCUUUCGCUGUAAUAAACUGUUUUAAAUUUAAA